AAUUAAAUGGCUGAGGUUUAAGCAUUAGAUUGUAAAUCUAUACACGAAAAUUAUUUUUCUUUAAUUA
rnacentral:tRNA from 1 species